rnacentral:miRNA from 12 species
UGCGCUUGGCUGAGGAGCCACUGGCGCGAGGCUACCAUCUGCGGGCUUAUGACUGAACGCCUCUAA